rnacentral:rRNA from 1 species
UACGAAGGGGGCUAGCGUUGCUCGGAUUGACUGGGCGUAAAGGGCGCGUAGGCGGUUCGUACAGUCAGACGUGAAAUUCCUGGGCUCAACCUGGGGGCUGCGUUUGAUACGUGCGGACUUGAGUGCGGAAGAGGGUCGUGGAAUUCCCAGUGUAGAGGUGAAAUUCGUAGAUAUUGGGAAGAACACCGGUGGCGAAGGCGGCUCACUGGCUCAUAUCUGACGCUCAGGCGCGACAGCGUGGGGAUCAAACAGG